UUUGGGAUAAGUUGCUCAAUCAGGUUAUACACAUAUCCAUUUAUUAGGCAAUGCAAUAUUUAUGUAGUUCUUUCUUCAGGAUAAUUAAAUAAAUCAGGUUUCUCACAUCUCCAUUUAUUAGGCCGUAGUAUAUUUACGUAGUUCUUUCUUCGGGAUAAUUUACUCAAUCAGGUUUUCUCUAUUUCCAUUUGAUUAUGGAAUAGUAUAUUUAUCUAUUUAUCACUUGGCGUGUGGUUUUAGAUUGCUCAAAAUCUUGUGGGGUCUUACCACAUAUGUAUUUGUGGGUUCAAACAUUUCUUACUAUCUUUGAGGUGUUGAAGGUUGAUCUUAUGAUCUUUUUGGAAAUAUCAUGUAUGCUUGCUGUUUUGUAGAUUUUGGUUGCAUUAUUUGAAGCUAACUCUCAUCAAAACUGCUGCUUUUUGCAGAGACGCCAGUGCACCACUUG
rnacentral:misc_RNA from 1 species